GACCGCGCGCAGGCGCAGCCUCUCCCUUUCCGAGGCCGGCCGCAGCCGCGUGCGUGGGACUCAUGGCUGCCGCAGCCCGCCAUGCGCUCGCUGGAAGGACCAGGGCUUUGGGUGUCGGCGUGCCCCUGGCACCUGUUAAGACGUCGGGGAGCAAACCUGCAGGCUAAUGGCGGGAUCCCCAAGCUUAAACGGGCCGGCGUGGCCGCCAAGUGAGGAGGCGGAGGUGGACGGUGCGUAGUUGUGGAGUUCCGCUCCAAGCGCGCGUUGAGCCGUGAGCUCCUUUCGGUGCAGGCCAGGUCUCUGGGGCGGAAACGGAUGCUGUGGCUGCCAGCAGUGCCCUGCUGCUGCUGCCUUUAGUCUCCCAGAGAGAAUGUCAUCAAAGGACCUUGGAGUUUGAUCUGCAGAAGUAGCUGGCAGAGUCAAGUGACUCCAGUCAUCCUGGGGAAGCAGGAGCUGCGCCUAGAAAAGCAGUUCUCACGGUGGACUUCUUGGGAAGAGUCGGUUGGGCUUUGUGUUUUGAAGCACAAAUAAACCUUACUAAACUUAA